GCGAACUAUUACGCCUUGGCUUUGGAUGAAUCAACCGAUGUCACCGAUACGGCGCAGUUAAUAAUUUUUUACGCUACCUGGAUCAAACGAGAGAAACUUUUGUUGAGGAGAUAUUAGCUCUUUUGCCAUUAUUAGGAAGAACUCGAGGAGAAGACAUGAUCAAAACAGUAAUUGAUUAUUUUGAUAAAGACGAGUUGGACUUGAAAAAGCUUUUAUCGAUAACUACAGACGGCGCGCCAGAAAUGGUUGGAAGUAAAAAAGGACUUGUUCACCUUUUGAGUAGCAAUGCAAGAUGCAACGAAAAUUCGAUUUGUUUCCACUGUAUUAUUCACCAAACAGUGCUUUGCUGUAAACUCAAUCAUAAUUUUGAGCGCGUUAUGCAAGAAGUGGUGAAAAUAGUUAAUUUUCUACGUGCAAAAUCAUCACUGCAACAUCGUGAGUUAAAAUCAUUUCUUGAAGAAGUUAAUGCACAAUAUGACGAUCUACUGUUGCAUAACAAUGUAAGAUGGUUGAGUAAAGGCUGCGUAUUGGAAAGAUUCUUCAGCCUUUUAGAGCACUUGAAGACAUAUAUUUCCAAUAGCAAUCAGAUUUCAGCAAACGCCUACUUAAGUUUUCUAAACGAAAAAGAAAAUGUAGCUAUCAUUGCUUUUUUAACGGAUAUUUUCAAAUAUAUCAAUGACUUGAACAACUUCAAGGCAAGGGAAAGCUUAUAUGGGAGCUCAUGUCAGAAGUGAAAAGUUUUUCGCGGAAAUUAGAUGUCUUUAUUAAUGAUAUCAGUAAUGAAUGCUUACACUUUCCUAAUUUAAAAAAAAUAAUAAUCAGCAGUGACAAUGAGAUUGACGUCAACCAAUACAAGACGUUCAUUUCAGAUCUCAAAUCGGAAUUUCAAACAAGGUUCGCUGAUUUUAAGAAAAUUUAGAUUAUGUUGUAGAAAUCCUCAGCAGUAUUUACUCUCUGCAUCCCGAUGGUAAAUGGAGCAGCGAAGCUGCAAGUGUUUUCGGAAGUGAUAAAGCUAUUCUGCAGAUCGAAAUGAUCGAUUUCCAAGAAAACACAGUUUUAAAGCACAAACAUGCCGAAGUUUCCAGUGAAGAGUUCUGGAUAAAAUUUGUGUGUGGUAAUAAAUAGGUAUCCAGAACUACAAAAAUUAGCUUUGAAACUUCUCACUUUGUUUGGGUCAACAUAUAUUUGCGAAGCUGCAUUUUCGAAGAUGAACUUCGUUAAGAAUAGAUUUCGAUCUCGACUUACUGAUGAACAUCUUCAGGAUUCAAUGUCAAUAGUUUGCACCAAUUCCACUCCAAACUUCAGACAGAUAAUUAACAAUAAAAAAUGUCACUUUUCUCAUUGAUAUGUAACUUUUGUAAUUUCCGUAAUUACCUUUUUUUAAUAAUUUUUUUUUAUAAUAUAUGUGGACCGCGAAGGUCAUUUCAUUUCUAAAAAUGGACCCCGACCGAAACUAAUCGGUGACCCCUGUCUUAGACAAUGCUUCAUAUCACAAUACAUGGUCUCAAAAACUUCCGACAUCGGCUACAAGGAAAUGAAGCAAUGGCUCAAGGAUAAGGGUAUACCAUUUGAGCAAUCUCUCCUUAAAUUGUAAUUGUACGACAUUAUAAAAAAACACAAAGCUGAACACAUAGCGUACAAAAUUGAUGAUUUUAUUAAGAGCAAGGGUUUUGAGGUCACACGCCUUCCCGUAUCACCCAGAAUUAAAUGCCAUUGAAAACAUUUGGGGGAUUGUAAAAAAUUAUAUCGCAUCAAAGAAUAUCGAGCAAAACAUGACAAACACGGAAAUACUGAUCAACGAAAGCUUGUAUCGAGUAAGCAGCGAAACAUGGCAAAAAACGUGUGCUCAUGUCGAAAAAAAUUGAAAAAGAAUACGUAAAAUACGUCGACCUGGAUUUUGAGUUCAUAAUUAAUUUGCAGGACGAUUCCAACGACAGCGAAUCGGAACUUGAAUCCGAUAGUGAUUAAGUGCUGUUUUUUUAUGUCUAUUCUGUAAUAAAUAAAAAUACUUAUUUACCUACAACUAUUGUGUUUCUAUUCAAUGCAACCUAUCAUUCAGUUAUCAUUAUCAGUAUCAAACAGUUUAGAUCUUUAUACUCACUCUAAAAUUACUACUUAUGUACAUCAAAUUGGCGAAGCAUUUUAAUUUGAAUUCUAAUAUCUAAAAAAAUUUAAAAAAACUUAAAUUAAAAAUAUUCAAAGUGUGUCAGAUUUCUUUCCUAACGCUCCCUACGUUUACACACACAAGCGCGCUUAUCAGUACACGUCACUACUACAACCAGAGCCAAACGGACUUCGUGAAAUAGAAUAUCUUUAAAUAAAUUUAAAGAUAUUUAGUGCUCUGUAAUACCUAAAGUUUUCCUAGUAAAUAAUUAAAAUGAUUUUAUUUUGUUUUAGGAUUAGAACAAAUUCCUACACACAAAGAAUGCACUUUUGUCGUCGACGUGAAAGAUGUGAAUUUUUUGAGGAGCAUAUUAUGGACACAUGAGGUUCAAGUUUGAUCGAGGGGGAUUGUGAACUAUCAUAAUUUACAUAGCUGGGCACCGAAAGACCAGAAUCCAAAAUUGAAAAGGCACAGAGCAUUUCAAAGAAAGUUUUCUGUGAAUUUUUGGGCAGGCGUCAUUGGCAACCAAUUAAUUGGACCUCAUUUCCUGCCAGACAAUCUAAACAGAGACAAUUAUUUAAGUUUCCUAGAAAACGAGCUGCCUAGGAUGUUGUUUUGACGAAGAUCGACCAAUUGUGUUUCAACAUGAUGCUUGUCCGGCUCAUUGGAGUUUGCUGGUGAGGGAAUUUCUAAAUAAUUCAUUCAACAUUCACAUUCAACUCUUGGAUUGGUAGAGGCGGUCUAAUUCCUUGGCCUCCAAGAUCUCCAGAUCUCACUCCCCUGGACUUUUACGUGUGGGGAAGGGCCAAGGAAUUGGUUUACUUCGAUGAAAUUAGUACAAAAGAAAUUUUAAUUGAAAAAAUCAAUGCUGCAUUUGCAACAAUGAGGCAAGAAUUACUACUUCGCACGAUGACCGUCGAAAUGAGAAAAAGGUGCCGUGCGUGUUUACAGACAAGAAAAGGUUAUUAAUUUAUUUUUUAUACCGUUGGAAAGAGCACAAGCCGCAGUUGUUUUUGUGAAAUUAGAAUCAAUCUAAUGCUCGUAGCUUUUCGUUUUUUUUCGUUUGACAAUAACAAUUAAAUGUUAUGGAUUUUAUUUAAUUAAAAUCAAAUCGUUACUGCUGCGCAAUUUCAAUCAAGACCCUUUAGAAAAUUUUUUUGGUGCAAUAAGGGCUCAUGGGCAUCGAAAUAUAAUGCCUACAGUGCCGGCAUUUGAGGCUUCUUAUAAAGCGCUUUUAAUAAAUAAUAUGGUUUCGCCUAAAUCAAUUGGGGCUAAUAGCGAAAGUGAUGAUGGCUAUUGCUUACAAAAUCUCAAAUCCCUUUUUUAUGAAAACAUUGUUAAGCCCUUACCUAAAAAUAUAAUAAUAAAUUUUGAUCACAUAACAUGUAUCUAACCAACAUUGAUAAUUUAAUAAAAAGCCAAAAUCCGUUAAUCAUCGAAAAAUGCGCAGCAGCUGCUUAUUGUAGUGGUUGGGUUAUUAAAACAAUUUAUACAAAUAUUGGUUAUUGUGAAAUGUGUAAAAGUGAUUUAGAAGGGGAUGGUGAAGAAAUCUAUUCAAAAUUUAUAACUAUGAAAAAAUAUUCCGAAAAAUGCAAUCUUCA